rnacentral:rRNA from 1 species
UACGAGGGGUGCAAGCGUUGUCCGGAAUUAUUGGGCGUAAAGAGCUCGUAGGCGGUUUGUCGCGUCUGCUGUGAAAACUCGGGGCUUAACCCCGGGCCUGCAGUGGGUACGGGCAGACUAGAGUGCGGUAGGGGAGACUGGAAUUCCUGGUGUAGCGGUGAAAUGCGCAGAUAUCAGGAGGAACACCGGUGGCGAAGGCGGGUCUCUGGGCCGUAACUGACGCUGAGGAGCGAAAGCGUGGGGAGCGAACAGG